rnacentral:rRNA from 2 species
UGCGGCGUGCUAUACAUGCAGUCGAGCGAAUGGAUUAAGAGCUUGCUCUUAUGAAGUUAGCGGCGGACGGGUGAGUAACACGUGGGUAACCUGCCCAUAAGACUGGGAUAACUCCGGGAAACCGGGGCUAAUACCGGAUAAUAUUUUGAACUGCAUAGUUCGAAAUUGAAAGGCGGCUUCGGCUGUCACUUAUGGAUGGACCCGCGUCGCAUUAGCUAGUUGGUGAGGUAACGGCUCACCAAGGCAACGAUGCGUAGCCGACCUGAGAGGGUGAUCGGCCACACUGGGACUGAGACACGGCCCAGACUCCUACGGGAGGCAGCAGUAGGGAAUCUUCCGCAAUGGACGAAAGUCUGACGGAGCAACGCCGCGUGAGUGAUGAAGGCUUUCGGGUCGUAAAACUCUGUUGUUAGGGAAGAACAAGUGCUAGUUGAAUAAGCUGGCACCUUGACGGUACCUAACCAGAAAGCCACGGCUAACUACGUGCCAGCAGCCGCGGUAAUACGUAGGUGGCAAGCGUUAUCCGGAAUUAUUGGGCGUAAAGCGCGCGCAGGUGGUUUCUUAAGUCUGAUGUGAAAGCCCACGGCUCAACCGUGGAGGGUCAUUGGAAACUGGGAGACUUGAGUGCAGAAGAGGAAAGUGGAAUUCCAUGUGUAGCGGUGAAAUGCGUAGAGAUAUGGAGGAACACCAGUGGCGAAGGCGACUUUCUGGUCUGUAACUGACACUGAGGCGCGAAAGCUUGGGGAGCAAACCGGAUUAGAUACCCUGGUAGUCCACGCCGUAAACGAUGAGUGCUAAGUGUUAGAGGGUUUCCGCCCUUUAGUGCUGAAGUUAACGCAUUAAGCACUCCGCCUGGGGAGUACGGCCGCAAGGCUGAAACUCAAAGGAAUUGACGGGGGCCCGCACAAGCGGUGGAGCAUGUGGUUUAAUUCGAAGCAACGCGAAGAACCUUACCAGGUCUUGACAUCCUCUGAAAACUCUAGAGAUAGAGCUUCUCCUUCGGGAGCAGAGUGACAGGUGGUGCAUGGUUGUCGUCAGCUCGUGUCGUGAGAUGUUGGGUUAAGUCCCGCAACGAGCGCAACCCUUGAUCUUAGUUGCCAUCAUUAAGUUGGGCACUCUAAGGUGACUGCCGGUGACAAACCGGAGGAAGGUGGGGAUGACGUCAAAUCAUCAUGCCCCUUAUGACCUGGGCUACACACGUGCUACAAUGGACGGUACAAAGAGCUGCAAGACCGCGAGGUGGAGCUAAUCUCAUAAAACCGUUCUCAGUUCGGAUUGUAGGCUGCAACUCGCCUACAUGAAGCUGGAAUCGCUAGUAAUCGCGGAUCAGCAUGACGCGAU